rnacentral:lncRNA from 1 species
ACACCCUGACAAACCCGGCCCCCACGCGCAGCCCAAGCCGGCUCCGCGCAGCCGGGAGCUCGCCGGCCGCCGGGCCUCGGCCCCCGGCCGCCAAGGAGAGCGGAGCGGAGCCCGCGCCGCCGGCCGGUCGCCCCGCUCCGGGGGACACUUUAAGGGAAAAACCCCAGCACCCAAUCCCCACGCUUGCACCCCGAGAGUCCCCGGGGAGCGGGAGGUAGCCCCGGAGCCAGCGGGCGCCUGGCUCUGGCCCCAAACUUACCGGGCGCUGCGAGCGCCGCUGCCGCCGCUGGAGGACGCGCCGCCGCCACCGCCGGGUAGGGCAGGCUCGGGCCGGGAGGAGCGCAGCGAGGGCGCCGAGAUCCGCUCGGCUCCGGCUCCUGCUCCGCGCCGGCUGGGGCUGGGGUCACCGCGCUGCGCCGGCGUUGCUCGCUCGCUCGGCCGCCCGAUCGCUGCUCGCCCGCCUGCCGCCCGGCCGCCCGCUCUCCCCGGCGCCCGCCGCCGCCGCUCGCUUUUUUAAUGUCCACAGACAGUGAAAAGGAACUCGGCGUUAGGGGGCUGCCACCGUGUCGGAGGCGAGGCGAGGAAGGGAGCUGGAAUAACAAAGGGAGGUAAUGGGGUAGAUUGGAUACCUCUGGGGUCUUGGAAGAAGCUAUGACUUAUUUACUGUCUACUAUGUGGUGGAUGGUGUUUGAAGUGAAUUGAAUUAGGGGACACCCAGCUGGCAUCUGCUGCAGAACUGAUGACUCGCUUGCUGGUGGGCAGAAAUCUCCAUAAUCUUUCUUUAGCAGAUGAGGUCACUGAGGCUCAGAGAGGCUGAAGCCACUUGCUCAGAGCCGCACAGCAAGCCCACCACCCUGAACCUCCAGAUUACCAACUCAGCAUUGUGUCCUGACAGUGUCAUCAUAGAUGGUCAACACCGUCACCUGGGCAGCACUGAAGCCCAGAGCGGGAGAGACUGGCUCAAGACCAUGGGUAAGUCAGCAGCAAAGCUGGGGAAAGGAAACCACCAACCUGAGAGCCCCUGGCUGGUUCCCAAAUCCAGGCCCUUACUUCUCUUCCCCACCAUCCAGGGUGGGGGGCAGACACCCAGUGAAAUGGCCUGCCCCAAAGGAGGGGAGCCUUGCCGAGCCACCCCAGGCCACCUCAGACCCACACCCCCAGCUCAGCGGUUGGAGGGGCUGAGGAGGGGCUGAGCCGCCACCCCCUCCCCACCCCAGUGCCAGGGCCCCAGCCUUGCAGCGCUUGUCCCCAGCCCAGAUGAGCAGGGCGCCCUUAUCAGAUCUCCGUUUCUGUUUCUCUCCUCUGGCUGCUUCUGCCUGGCCCUGCCCCCAACCCCGGUGGCCUUUUCCUCUCUGAAGUGAUGUUCCUUUUCCUGUCACCAACACACACAGCACACAGAGAAGUUUGUUUCUGUUGCUUUAAAAAAGUUUCCUUCUGGGGAGGAGGGCAAGGGGUUGUUUACUGGGCCUGCAAAGCCUCACCGUGGGUGUGGGCAUGGGUGUGGCAUGGGUGUGGGUGGCAACUGGGUCCCUGCUGGAUUUGGGGUUGGUGGAGGCUGCACCCACGACCCUGGGCCUCUGGAUCCUGUGCAAAAGCCAGGAACGUGGAAGGAAAACCUCCUGUGCACCCUGCUCAGGGCUGGGCUGGUUCACCCACCGUCCAGCCACACUCCUGCAGAAACCUGGGAGGUCAGGGGUUUUGUUUUCCAUUUUCCACAGGAGACAGCUGAGGCUCGGCCAAGGUUGCCAGGGUCCAAGCCUAUGGAUUUGUGGUCUGGGCUCUGCCAGUGGCAUGGCACUGUCUUCAAAGCUCCCACCCUACCAUUUUUCUUACCCACACAGGGCAGGCUCGACCCAGCUAAGGAACACAGCUUCCUGAAGCAUCUGUCCUGGGCCGUUGGCCCUUCUGUGGACAGGGCUUGAGCUCUGUAGGCUGGAUUUGAAUUUCAAGUCCUCCUGCUGUGUGACCUUGAACAAGUUACUUAGCCUCUCUGAGCAUCAAAUGGCUUAACUAUCAAAUAAGAAGCACAGAGAAGUCCCCAAGAGCCAGUAGACUCUGGAGGCUGUGAGACCGGGGACUGGGGCUCCUGCAUCCUUAAUGAAGGUUUCAGUCUUGAGUCGCGUCUGGGAGACCUGCUGAAGCAAUGGGGAGCUACUGUAGGUGGGUAAACAAGGGAGAGUGUGAUGGAGGCCAUGUUCUAAAAGGAUUCUAUAGGCAGCAGAAGGGAGGAGGGCUCAGGGGAGAGGUGGAGGAGCUGCAGGGGAGAGGUGGAGGCUGGGAGGCCAACAAAGGAGGCUUUGACUUCCUUUUCAGAAAAAUAAGGCCACCCACCUCCCACCAGGAGCAAGAGUCAUGGAGGGAGACUGUCUCAGCUGGCCUGGCCUGGCUCCUGCCCAGGACAGAGAUCCCGGCCCCUGGACUCCUCCAGCAGCCCAGUGUAGGGGAGGAGUGCCUUCCUCCCCAUGCCCAGGGUAGCCCCUUGUCUGAGAGUGGUGGUUGUGGCAGGCCCUGCUGAGAACUGCAGUUUCAUUUCCCACUGACCUCCACCCACUGGACUCUCCCAGGCUCUUGUUUCAAGCUGCCUAGUGCUAACCCCAGCCCUUGAGCCAGCUCGCUCCAGCCUUUACCUCAGACCAGGGCACUGGGGCUGUGUGUAGGACUCACACCUCCCAGGUCUGUCUCUUACCUUGGGACCCUUAGGGCAGGAACACGGGAGGGGGGCUCUGAUGUAUGAUGUCAGGGAACUCCGAGGGCCACCUCCUCCUCUGACAAAAGCACCUUCUUUGUCAAGUGAGUAAUUCCUCUGACACAUGUCGCUCUGACAUGGCACAGGUCUUCUUAAAGAUGAACGUCCUCCAUGACCUGUGUGGGUUUCCUGGGAAUAACCCACAGUAGUGGUCAAGGAGGCCAGGAAAGAAGAACUUCUACUGUUUCCCCCUUUUCCAAAUUUGUUGGAUGGAGAUAUAGAGGGUGGGGCCACCUUAUUCUUCAAAAGGAUUUUUAACAGCAGGGAAAAGGAAGGGUUGAGUCUCACAGUCCACACUGCAGCCACCAUAACCAUUUCCCAGACAAGUAAACUAAGGCCCAGGGCGAGAUCCCAGGCUUCCUUACUCAACUUCCAGCCAGGGCAGAGUCUCUCGAACGAAAGAAGGGACGCUGCUGCAUGGCUCACGUGCUCAGCCCUGGUAAUAGAAAUACGUCUCCAGUGAGAUCUAAUUGUAACUCUCAUUGGGACCUGCGUCACCUACAAGGCUGGCAGCCAGACACCCUGAGAAUGCACCAGCUUUACUCUUUUUUUUUUUUUUUUUUUUGAGAUGAAGUCUUGCUCUGCUGUACAGUCUAGAGUGCAGUGGCAUGAUCUCGGCUCGCCACACCCUCUGCCUUCCAGAUUCAGGCAAUCUCCUGCCUCAGCCUCCCUAUUAUAUGGGAUUACAGGCAUGCAUCACCACAGCCUGGCUGAUUUGUGUGUGUGCGUGUGUGGUAUUUUUAGUAGAGAUGGGGGUUUCACGAUGUUAACCAGUCUGGUCUCAAACUCCUGAGCUCAAGUGAUCUGCCCACCUCGACCUCCCAAAGUGCUGGGAUCACAGGGGUCAGCCACUGCACCUGGCCUACGAGCUUUACUCUUUCCCUGGGUGAUAGGGUGAUGGCAGUCUCUGGGGCAGGGGGAGGAGUGCUGUGCCACAUGCCCUGGGCACCUGCUUUGCUGCAUGUCCUUCUCCAAGGCUCUGAUCCUCUCUGGGCCUCUUUAUUUCUUGCAGUGCCUGCCUCAUGGGAUUGCAGGGACCAAAGGAUUUGGGUGCCGGCAAUUGGAGGGCCGUUCUGUGGGCCAGCAUUGGGCAGGCGCCUCCCACAUGGUUCUCUUUUUGUCCUCCCAGUAGCCCUGUGCAUCAGACGCAGAGCUGUGCUGCAUGCACCCACUUGCCCCACUCGCCUCAGAGGAGCGUUCCUUGCAGGAGGAAUUUGAUAGAUUUUAAUACCAGGGUCCCCUGCUGACCAGGCUUUGCAUUUCCUUACCUACCCUCGGCUCUAACUUUGGCCUGGCGAAGCAGGGCACCACAGGACAUCAGGGUCACACAUCUCAGACCACAAGAGCCUCAGCAGUCUCCAAGACAAAGUAGAGAUUGAAGGCCCUGCUUCUCCUUCCAGAGUACUGAGGAGCCUCCUGCCUUCCUGAGUGAGGCUGGGGGAUCAAAGCUCAACAAUAGUGGGUUGUCAGAAUUACGUUUCUAGAAAGGAAAAUCAAGACUGAUUUUUAUGGGGAGUAUAGCAUUAUGCUCCAGUAAUAGUACUAUUAGCUCCAUUGCACAGAGGAGGAAAUUGAGGCUUAGAGAAUUUCUGAUUGUCUAAAGACAUCUUUCCUGGAACUGGUGGAUCAGGGACAAGAACCCUGAUUUGUUGAUGUCAAAGCGUGUGUAGUUUUUCCUUUUUUAUAUCUUCUGGAUCAGCAAGACCACCGCAUUUGGGGAACAGAAGGCACAAUGGGGGGAGUGGCACAGCUGCAACGUGAAGGGCUCCAUGUGGGGCCUUGGAGACACCAAGCUGCCCUCCUCCUGGUCCGAGCUGCCCACUUCCCAUCCCUCAUCCCUCCUCCUUCAGCUUAGGGCCAGCUGCACCUGGCUCCAGGCCCUCCACUCAGUGUGGAGAAGUCCUGGCCCUCCUCACCACCUUCCCACAGCCCCUGCUCAGCUGCAGAGCCUGCCGUGGGCCUUCUAAAGCUGUGUACUGCUCCCAAAGGUGGCAGCAGGCAGAGCCAGGCCUUGCUGGGGGCUCCUUCACCCCUUGGAGUCUGGGCCUCAGAGUGACGUCCCAGGCUGAGGCUCAUUGGGAGGGGUCAGCAUUGGCAUCAGGAGACUGGGGUCAAGUCUGAGUUCUGACAGUGACUGUGUGACCUUGGACAGUCACUUGCCCUCGCUGGGCCUUGGUUUUCCUGUUGUGAAGUCAUAUGGUCCUGGGAUGUGGGCAAGGGUAGAGAAAUGAGACACUUCAGCUCCCCACUCACAAGCCGUGCCCCCUCAGGCCCACCACUUAGGUUUUCUUAGCCCCUCCAUUUUCCCCGGCAUAAAAUGGGGAUAAUGAAGCCCAUUCCUUCUGAUCGUUAAGGAAACCAGCAUUUACUGAAGGCUCGGCCCCGUGCAAGAUGCUCUCUGAAGCAUUUUCUCUCAUGGACUCCCAUCCAUCCAACAAUGAAAUGAAAUGUCUUGCUUUUGGUCUUUCAUACAAUGUCUCUUUGCAGCCUCUCCUGGUCUGACAGUCUCAGAUGCAGUCAUGGAUGGCUUUCUGGAGGAGGUGGUACCUGGUCUGUGGGAAGUAGGGGUCAGCAUCCUGGUCUCUGGGAGCAUCUGCUCCAGAUGGUUUCCCUGGGGCCCCCAGAAGCAGGUGUUUGCGCUAACAGCUCUGCAAGCAGAGAGCUUCAGUGCAUGGCCCUUCUUGCCCUUGUUCCCAGGCACAUGCUGUUCCCCUGGGGCUGAAUACCCCACUUACUUGUAAAUCCCAGUGCUCUCCUGUUCAUUCUGCAGUGCCAGCACAAGUCUCCUCCUUGGGGAAGGCUUUCUGGACUUCCCAGCCCACUGGCCAUUGUUCCGUCUUGCAGGUGCCCCCUCAGGGUGCCUGCUGUAACCGUCACUCACAUAUCUCCCCCACCCAACAGAGGGCCUUGCUUUUGGUCCUGGACCUGCACCUUUGACUGUAUUCUUAGUGAUUUGUCCAAGCCCACCCUGGGAGAUAGGGGCGGUGCCAGGCUAGCACCCAGUUCUCCUGGGUUCUCUGAGAAAGUUCCUACCUUCUUCCCUGGCUCACAAGUAGUACUUAAGCAGUUUUGGUUGUUAAAGAAAAUACUGAAUUUAUUCUUCCAACCACUCAUAUAUAUAUAUAAAUCAGUGUUAUUGAGAAACAAUUUACAAAAUGCACCCAUUUUCACUGUACAGUUCAGUGAAUUUUAACAGGUGUGUACAGUGGUGUAAACACUGCCACACCCAAGAUAUCACACAUUUCCAUCACCCCUCAAAAUCUCCUCAUACCCCUUCCUGAUCAAUCCCUCUUCCUGCCUCAGGCAACAUUUGAUUUGAUUUUAUCAAUAUCGAUUAGUUUUGCAUGUUCUAGAAUGUCCUAUAAAUUGUGAUUAGGCAGUAUGUACUUUCUGUGUAGUGCCAUGCAUGUUGUAUCUUGCAUGAGUAGUUCGGCCCUUUGCAUUGCUGGGUAGUAUUCUGGAGAAUGGACAUUCCACAAUUUGUUUAUCUGUUCACCAAUUGAUAGAAUUUGGGUUAUUUCCAGUUUGGGGAUUUUAUGAAUAAAGCUGCUAUGAACAUUCAUGUGAACAUGUUUUCAUUUACCUUGGGCUAAUGCCUGGAACUGGUAUUGUUGUAUUGUCAGGGUAAGUA